GGGGAUUUAGCUCAGUGGUAGAGCGCUUGCCUAGCAAGCACAAGGCCCUGGGAUCGGUCCCCAGCUCCA
rfam:Rattus norvegicus chromosome 10, whole genome shotgun sequence.